UGGGGAAUUUUGGACAAUGGACGCAAGUCUGAUCCAGCCAUGCCGCGUGCGGGAAGAAGGCCUUCGGGUUGUAAACCGCUUUUGUCAGGGAAGAAACGAGUUUCUCUAAUACAGAGACUUAAUGACGGUACCUGAAGAAUAAGCACCGGCUAACUACGUGCCAGCAGCCGCGGUAAUACGUAGGGUGCAAGCGUUAAUCGGAAUUACUGGGUGUAAAGCGUGCGCAGGCGGUUAUACAAGACAGAUGUGAAAUCCCCGGGCUCAACCUGGGACCUGCAUUUGUGACUGUAUAGCUAGAGUACGGUAGAGGGGGAUGGAAUUCCGCGUGUAGCAGUGAAAUGCGUAGAUAUGCGGAGGAACACCGAUGGCGAAGGCAAUCCCCUGGACCUGUACUGACGCUCAUGCACGAAAGCGUGGGGAGCAAACA
rnacentral:rRNA from 1 species